CGAGAGUGAUGAGUGGCUCAUUAGUCGUUUUCGUUUGCCAAGGGCAAUUUUGCUUGAUUUGUGUCAACAGUUCUCGCAACAUUUGGAGAGGCCGACAAAGCGCACCAGUGCAGUCCCCGUGCACACUCAGGUUCUUUCUACUAUUGGCUUUUUAGCCACAGGCACAUUUCAAAGGGAAAUCUCAACCCACCGUGAGCCGAAUUAUGCCACACGUUUUACAUGCAAUUAUAUCACUUACAUCACAGUACAUAGCGUUUCCAAAUACCGCAGCGGAAAGGACAAAAAUUAUGACCGAUUUCUAUAACAUCGCAGGAUUUCCAAGUGCAAUAGGGGCAGUUGACUGCACACGUUGCCCUGAACGCUCCUACUGUUGAUGAAUUUGCAUUUGUAAAUAGAAAAGGCUAUCACUCCAUUAACGUGCAGGUAAUCUGUGAUGCACACUUGAACCUGCUAAAUGUCGUUGCGAACAGCCCGGGAGGGACACACGAUUCCUUCAUUGUGCAGAACAGCAUCGUGGGACUUCGUCUUCAGCAAAGCGCUGCUGGAGAAGGCUGGCUGAUUGGGGAUCGAGGAUAUGCCCUUAAAUCCUGGCUGAUGACCCCAGUGGCAAACCCUGUAUCCCAAAAGGAGCUGAAUUACAACCGAGCACAUGAGCGCACAAGAAGCACAGUAGAACGUGCAAUAGGCUUGCUGAAGGCUCGAUGGCUGUGUCUGUCAGGCAGAGGAGGCAUAUUGCAAUACAAACCCGACAAGAACCGCAUCAGUCAGGACUCGUGCCUCGAAACGCAUCGGACGUGCUGAAGUGGCAGGCGGAGCAGGACCUGGCAAAACUGGCAGAUCUAUAAAAUAAAUGUUAA